CCGUUCCCAGCCGGAGGGACUAAAAGCGGCGUGGGAGCAGGAGGUGAGGCCGGCAAAUCUCCUCCGUCUACCGACAUCUUAAAAGAACAAGUAAAGAAUCUGACCUCACUAAACUUUCAAAAUGAGUAUAUUUCCUCCUGUGCCAGUGCAUAGUCCCAAAGCACAUCCAAGUAUGGAAGAGAUGAAAUGCCCUUCACCAAACCUUGCAAGGAUGCAUUUGAUCAAAGGCAAAGAUGCCAUAGAUCGUUAUUUGGCCACGCAUAUCAAAGGACUGUCAAAGCAAGAGGCUGCUGCUUACCGGAGUUCAUACAUGAAGAAUAUCUGCAUAGACAUGCUGCGACAAGGGUAUCACAAGUCUUUCGCAGAGCUCUUUUCUCUGAUAGAGAAGUGGAAUGCCUUCAGGGAGGCUUCGGGGCCUGGGUCAGCCAUAUGGCUGGAGAAGUCUCUGGGGGAGCAGCCUGAUAAACUGGAUCAACUUCACUACUUCCUGACCAGGGCUGAGGCAGCCCAGCGAUCAGAAUUCUAUGAAGAGGUAUAUUCUAACCAACUGAAUUUGGCCUAUUGCUUCAACAAGCCUGAAGAUAAAUGGUUAAGGAAUUACUUCUAUGAACAGUGCUACAAAACCGCUCAACUAGUUAAAAUUGAUGGUGGGAAGAAAGAAGCUGAAGCACAUUCAAAUAUGGGCCUUGUUUAUGAAGAGCAAGGUCAGUUUCUGAAAGCAGUAGAACAUUAUGAAGCAUUCCAUCAGCUGACAGUGGGGCGUAUAUGGAAGGAUGAUACAGGCCAGACUUACAACUCAGUAGCAUGUGAACAUCUCUGGAGAAUUUACACAUUGCUAGCAGACAAAAUGCUAGGAAAUAAAGAACACCAACAGGCCAUCAGAACUCUAAUAAAAGCCUUUGAAAUGGCAAAAGAAGCAGAGAAUAAGAAAAUGGAAGGAGAAGCGGCAUACUGUCUAGGUCUGGCGUACCAUUCAGUCGGAGAACAAAAGACAGCAGUAUCAAAGCUGAAUACUUACUUGGAAAUAUCCAAAAUGCUGGGAGACUACACGGGUCUAGGGAGAGCAUAUCAAGCUUUAGCCCAGGUCUUGAUAAGUCAGGGAGAAGUGGCGGAUGCUAUUAUGUACAUGGAAAAAUUCAUGAAUAUCGCCAAGAAGGUUCAACUGAACCAAAGCCUAGUGGAUGCAUGUACAUUCCUUGGAAACAUUUACAACACAAGCGGGAACUACUCCAAAGCCUGUGAAUAUUUUCAUCAGGCAUUUACAGCAGCAAAUGCCCUUUCUGAUUUGGCCCUGUUGAAUGAAACAAAGGUAUUUUCUGGCAUUGGAAAAGCUCAUAACAUGAUGCUGAAAGUUAACAGUCAUACAGAAGCUGCAGAUCACGUCAGCAUAAAGUAUCUGCUGGCCUGGAAGGAGAACAGAAGUGACAUGUGCAAUGACCCUUUUACAGUUGGGUUAUCGGGAAAAUCAAGGAUCAAGAAAUUACCCUAAUGGCCCUGAAAGAACUGAGUCAGUCAUGAUAGGCACACCUAAUGAAUCUGUCAGCAGAACAUCUGGCAUUGCUUUCUCUGAGGUUGGACCUUCUCUAUUUGGACCCAGGAUUUCUAAAGCUGGUUAAAUGAAGGUGGAGAGGCGUAACAAGUUCUCCAGCAACUACUGCAGUCUUGGAAGCAUCUGAUGCUGAGAAUGAAGAAAAGAGUGAGGAAACAUCUAGAUCUCCU